rnacentral:rRNA from 1 species
CCCUUAGAUGUUCUGGGCAGCACGCGCGCUACAAUGGUCUUCGCAAACGGAUGCAUUCUCGAAGGAGAAUGCCAAUCUUGGAAUCUAUGCCUUGGUCGGGACAGUUGCUUCAAUUUUUCGACUCGAACCAGGAAUUCCUUGUAAUCGUGAUUCAUCACAUCACGAUGAAUACGUCCCUGCCCUUUGUACACACCGCCCGUCGCUCCUACCGAUCGAAGAGUUAGGUGAAUUGUUUUGAUCGAUAAGAUUUGACUAUGGUCAACUCUCGUUGUGAAAUUCUGUGAAUCUGACUGUUUAGAGGAAGGAAAAGUCGUAACA